rnacentral:rRNA from 1 species
UUUCUAUGGAGUCAUCCUUGAAAUACCACCCUUUAACGUUUGAUGUUCUAACGAAGAUUGCGAAACGUGGUCUCGGACAGUGUCUGGUGGGUAGUUUGACUGGGGCGGUCUCCUCCCAAAGCGUAACGGAGGAGCACGAAGGUUUGCUAAUGACGGUCGGACAUCGUCAGGUUAGUGCAAUGGUAUAAGCAAGCUUAACUGCGAGACAGACAAGUCGAGCAGGUACGAAAGUAGGUCAUAGUGAUCCGGUGGUUCUGAAUGGAAGGGCCAUCGCUCAACGGAUAAAAGGUACUCCGGGGAUAACAGGCUGAUACCGCCCAAGAGUUCAUAUCGACGGCGGUGUUUGGCACCUCGAUGUCGGCUCAUCACAUCCUGGGGCUGAAGUAGGUCCCAAGGGUAUGGCUGUUCGCCAUUUAAAGUGGUACGCGAGCUGGGUUUAGAACGUCGUGAGACAGUUCGGUCCCUAUCUGCCGUGGGCGUAGGAGAAUUGGUUGGGGCUGCUCCUAGUACGAGAGGACCGGAGUGGACGCACCACUGGUGUUCCGGUUGUGUCGCCAGACGCAUUGCCGGGUAGCUAAGUGCGGAAGAGAUAAGUGCUGAAAGCAUCUAAGCACGAAACUUGCCAAGAGAUGAGUUCUCCCAAUCUAAGAGAUAGUAAGGGUUGUUGUAGACUACGACGUAGAUAGGUCUGGUGUGUAAGUGUAGUGAUACAUUGAGCUAACAGAUACUAAUUGCCCGAGAGGCUUAACUAUACAACGCUCAAG